rnacentral:rRNA from 1 species
CAGCCGCCGCGGUAAGACAGAGGAUGCAAGCGUUAUCCGGAAUGAUUGGGCGUAAAGCGUCUGUAGGUGGCUUUUCAAGUCCGCCGUCAAAUCCCAGGGCUCAACCCUGGACAGGCGGUGGAAACUACCAAGCUGGAGUACGGUAGGGGCAGAGGGAAUUUCCAGUGGAGCGGUGAAAUGCGUUGAGAUCGAAAAGAACACCAACAGCGAGAGCACUCUGCUGGGACGACACUGACACUAAGAGACGAAAGCUAGGGGAGCGAAUGGGAUUAGAUACCCCUGUAGUCCCUGUCUCUUAUAC